GCCUGGGUGGCGGAAUGGUAUACGCGCGAGUCUCAAAAACUCGUGACCCUUAAAGUCUUGAGAGUUCGAGUCUCUCCCCAGGCACGA
rnacentral:tRNA from 1 species